rnacentral:rRNA from 1 species
GCAACAGCUCAAAUUUGAAAUCUGGCCCCCCCCCCGGGGGGCCCGAGUUGUAAUUUGCAGAGGAUGCUUUGGGCGAGGCGCCUUCCGAGUUCCCUGGAACGGGACGCCGCAGAGGGUGAGAGCCCCGUCUGGUCGGACGCCAGGCCUAGUGUAAAGCUCCUUCGACGAGUCGAGUAGUUUGGGAAUGCUGCUCUAAAUGGGAGGUAUAUGUCUUCUAAAGCUAAAUACCGGCCAGAGACCGAUAGCGCACAAGUAGAGUGAUCGAAAGAUGAAAAGCACUUUGAAAAGAGGGUUAAAUAGUACGUGAAAUUGUUGAAAGGGAAGCGCUCACGACCAGACUUGGGCCUGGCGGAUCAUCCGGCGUUCUCGCCGGUGCACUCCGACGGGCUCCAGGCCAGCAUCAGUUCGCGCCGGGGGACAAAGGCUCGGGGAAUGUAGCUCCCCCGGGAGUGUUAUAGCCCCCUGCGCAAUGCCCUGGGGCGGACUGAGGUUCGCGCGUCCCGCAAGGAUGCUGGCGUAAUGGUCGUCAGCGACCCGUCUUGAAACACGGACCAAGGAGUCGUCUUCGUAUGCGAGUGUUCGGGUGUGAAACCCCUACGCGUAAUGAAAGUGAACGCAGGUGAGAGCUUCGGCGCAUCAUCGACCGAUCCUGAUGUUCUCGGACGGAUUUGAGUAGGAGCAUACGGGGCCGGACCCGAAAGAAGGUGAACUAUGCCUGUAUAGGGUGAAGCCAGAGGAAACUCUGGUGGAGGCUCGCAGCGGUUCUGACGUGCAAAUCGAUCGUCA